CCUACGGGAGGCAGCAGUGGGGAAUUUUGGACAAUGGGCGCGAGCCUGAUCCAGCCAUGCCGCGUGCGGGAAGAAGGCCUUCGGGUUGUAAACCGCUUUUGUCAGGGAAGAAAAGGUUCUGGCUAAUACCUGGGACUCAUGACGGUACCUGAAGAAUAAGCACCGGCUAACUACGUGCCAGCAGCCGCGGUAAUACGUAGGGUGCAAGCGUUAAUCGGAAUUACUGGGCGUAAAGCGUGCGCAGGCGGUUAUGCAAGACAGAGGUGAAAUCCCCGGGCUCAACCUGGGAACUGCCUUUGUGACUGCAUAGCUAGAGUGCGGCAGAGGGGGAUGGAAUUCCGCGUGUAGCAGUGAAAUGCGUAGAUAUGCGGAGGAACACCGAUGGCGAAGGCAAUCCCCUGGGCCUGCACUGACGCUCAUGCACGAAAGCGUGGGGAGCAAACAGGAUUAGAUACCCUGGUAGUCCACGCCCUAAACGAUGUCAACUGGUUGUUGGGAGGGUUUCUUCUCAGUAACGUAGCUAACGCGUGAAGUUGACCGCCUGGGGAGUACGGCCGCAAGGUUGAAACUUAAAGGAAUUGACGGCUGAGACCGNGCGAGACGACACGAGGGAGGAGG
rnacentral:rRNA from 1 species